UACUAGGAUUUUUUUUUUUUUUUUAAGUUGAUAGUUUUAUAACAGAGCCCUGUAAUUCUACCAUAAGAAGUGAAUGUGAAAUUUCUUUUAUUGCUCUGAGAUGUACAUGUGUGUGUGUGUGAAAUAAUUGUGUGUGUGUUGUUGCUAAUAAUUAUUAGCUGCAUUUUGAUCUAAAACUAUGAAGCUUGAUUAAAAUCUUGCAUUAUUGAAAUAUAUGGGAUCCAAUUAUUUAUCUUUAGUUCAAUUCAUAUUUUACCAUAGACAUAAAUAAAUAUAGACUG